UACGUAGGGCGCAAGCGUUGUCCGGAAUUAUUGGGCGUAAAGAGCUCGUAGGCGGCUUGUCGCGUCGGGAGUGAAAGCUUGGGGCUCAACCCCAAGUCUGCUUCCGAUACGGGCAGGCUAGAGGCAGGUAGGGGAGAACGGAAUUCCUGGUGUAGCGGUGAAAUGCGCAGAUAUCAGGAGGAACACCAAUAGCGAAGGCAGCUCGCUGGGACGGUAUUGACGCUAAGGCGCGAAAGCGUGGGGAGCAAACAGG
rnacentral:rRNA from 1 species